rnacentral:lncRNA from 1 species
CCAUUAUUCCCUGAAGGCAGUUAACAAGGGUUUUGUAAAAAAAAAGUCAAGGCUUUUUACUCAUGAUAAUUCUACCAUAAUGGCACAGCUUCUGUUGCUAUGGCAUAGGAAUUCUGAGCUCUCCACUGGUUUCUCCCAAAGGUGGCUCUAGGGUAUGAACUCCAGGCCCUUCUCCCAAAGUACUCUCCAGAAGAAUGGCUACUUCUAUCACCAUGGAGGCUUUGCUGUCAUUGCCAAAAGCAUUUGGACCACUCAGAACUUGCUUUUGAAAAAUUUAUGAGAACCAUCAAAAUGCAUAGGAGGUGCAUCCUUGCAUUGCAGAAUGAAUACAGUUCCGGUGAGCCAGUCCUUCAGAGAUGCUUCUACUCCUUCUGUGGUUCCCAGAGAAAAGGAAGGAGAGAUCAAGCUCUGAGACUUUCUGAAGAGGAUCAUCCUUCCUCACGAAGUCAAGAAGGAAUUAUAUACUGGAUGUUCAUGGCCACUCCUUAAGAAGUUCUCCUGACAAAAUUAAGAUGACAGUAACUUUUUCCUUUCAUUUCCCAGAUUUCUUUAUCAACUUCUAAGACAUAACCAUUGUGUUAUAAAUUACUUUUGCAAUUAUUUACUCAUCUGCUCUUUGUCUUUUCCAUUUAGUUUUUAAAUUUUAAAUUUUAUUUAUAUUUCCAUUUAUUGUUCUUUUUUUGCUUAACAGAUUGAAUUUCUUCUCAAGAAGAAUGACUUUUAUG